UGAAUACGAGACGCUAAGGCGUCGAAGUAGUGUAUGUCAUACUUCCAAGAAAAGCUUGCACUGUCAUAGAUAAAAAACGCCUGUACCAUAACCGACACAGGUGGGUAGGUAGAGUAUACUAAGGGGCGCGAGAUAACUCUCUCUAAGGAACUCGGCAAAAUAGCUCCGUAACUUCGGGAGAAGGAGUGCCUUAUUCGUAAGGUUCAAUAACAAGAUCCAAGCAACUGUUUAUCAAAAACACAGGUCUCCGCUAAGUCGUAAGACGAUGUAUGGGGGCUGACGCCUGCCCAGUGCCAGAAGGUUAAAGAAGUUGGUUAGCAAUUGCGAAGCUGAUAACUGAAGCCCUGGUGAACGGCGGCCGUAACUAUAACGGUCCUAAGGUAGCGAAAUUCCUUGUCGGGUAAGUUCCGACCCGCACGAAAGGCGUAAUGAUUUGGAUACUGUCUCGGAGAGGGGCUCGGUGAAAUAGACUUGUCUGUGAAGAUGCGGACUACCUGCACCAGGACAGAAAGACCCUAUGAAGCUUUACUGUAACUUGAAAUUGAAAUUGGACUUUAUUCGCGCAGUAUAGGUGGGAGGCGUUGAUUAUAAUCUUGUGGGAUUAUUGGAGCCAUCAGUGAGAUACCACUCUUGUAAUGUUAGAUUUCUAACUUUGAAUCAUUAUCUGGUCAAAGAACAGUUUCAGGCGGGCAGUUUGACUGGGGCGGUCGCCUCCUAAACGGUAACGGAGGCGUACAAAGGUUUCCUCUGAACGGUUAGAAAUCGUAUCUAGAGUGUAAAGGCAUAAGGAAGCUUGACUGUGAGACCUACAAGUCGAGCAGGGACGAAAGUCGGUCUUAGUGAUCUGACGGUACUGAGUGGAAAGGCCGUCACUCAACGGAUAAAAGUUACUCUAAGGAUAACAGGCUGAUCUCCCCCAAGAGUUCACAUCGACGGGGAGGUUUGGCACCUCGAUGUCGGCUCAUCGCAUCCUGGGGCGGUAGUACGUCCCAAGGGUUGGGCUGUUCGCCCAUGAAAGCGGUACGCGAGCUGGGUUCAGAACGUCGUGAGACAGUUCGGUCCAUAUCCGGUGUAGGCGUUAGAAUAUUGAGAGGAGCCUUCUUUAGUACGAGAGGACCGAGAAGGACAUACCUCUGGUGUACCAGUUAUCGUGCCAACGGUAAACGCUGGGUAGCUAUGUAUGGAGUGGAUAACCGCUGAAAGCAUCUAAGUGGGAAGCCCACCUCAAGAUAAGUAUUCUC
rnacentral:rRNA from 1 species